rnacentral:rRNA from 1 species
UUUGACAUGUACGGAACCCUUUAGAGAUAGAGGGGUGCUCGAAAGAGAGCCGUAACACAGGUGCUGCAUGGCUGUCGUCAGCUCGUGUCGUGAGAUGUUGGGUUAAGUCCCGCAACGAGCGCAACCCUUGUCAUUAGUUGCUACAUUCAGUUGGGCACUCUAAUGAGACUGCCGGUGACAAGCCGGAGGAAGGUGGGGAUGACGUCAAGUCCUCAUGGCCCUUAUAGGUGGGGCUACACACGUCAUACAAUGGCUGGUACAAAGGGUUGCCAACCCGCGAGGGGGAGCUAAUCUCACAAAGCCAGUCGUAGUCCGGAUCGUAGUCUGCAACUCGACUACGUGAAGUCGGAAUCGCUAGUAAUCGUGGAUCAGAAUGUCACGGUGAAUACGUUCCCGGGUCUUGUACACACCGCUCGUCACACCAUGGGAGCGGGUUCUGCCAGAAGUAGUUAGCUUAACCGCAAGGAGGGCGAUUACCACGGCAGGGUUCGUGACUG